rnacentral:rRNA from 1 species
UACAGAGGUCUCAAGCGUUGUUCGGAUUCAUUGGGCGUAAAGGGUGCGUAGGCGGCGCGGUAAGUCGGGUGUGAAAUCUCGGGGCUUAACUCCGAAACUGCAUUCGAUACUGCCGUGCUUGAGGACUGGAGAGGAGACUGGAAUUUACGGUGUAGCGGUGAAAUGCGUAGAUAUCGUAAGGAAGACCGGUGGCGAAGGCGGGUCUCUGGACAGUUCCUGACGCUGAGGCACGAAGGUCAGGGGAGCAAACGGG